CUACAGGCUUAACACAUGCAAGUCGAGGGGUAGCAUGGUCUUAGCUUGCUAAGGCCGAUGGCGACCGGCGCACGGGUGAGUAACACGUAUCCAACCUGCCGUCUACUCUUGGACAGCCUUCUGAAAGGAAGAUUAAUACAAGAUGGCAUCAUGAGUCCGCAUGUUCACAUGAUUAAAGGUAUUCCGGUAGACGAUGGGGAUGCGUUCCAUUAGAUAGUAGGCGGGGUAACGGCCCACCUAGUCUUCGAUGGAUAGGGGUUCUGAGAGGAAGGUCCCCCACAUUGGAACUGAGACACGGUCCAAACUCCUACGGGAGGCAGCAGUGAGGAAUAUUGGUCAAUGGGCGAGAGCCUGAACCAGCCAAGUAGCGUGAAGGAUGACUGCCCUAUGGGUUGUAAACUUCUUUUAUAAAGGAAUAAAGUCGGGUAUGGAUACCCGUUUGCAUGUACUUUAUGAAUAAGGAUCGGCUAACUCCGUGCCAGCAGCCGCGGUAAUACGGAGGAUCCGAGCGUUAUCCGGAUUUAUUGGGUUUAAAGGGAGCGUAGAUGGAUAUUUAAGUCAGUUGUGAAAGUUUGCGGCUCAACCGUAAAAUUGCAGUUGAUACUGGAUAUCUUGAGUGCAGUUGAGGCAGGCGGAAUUCGUGGUGUAGCGGUGAAAUGCUUAGAUAUCACGAAGAACUCCGAUUGCGAAGGCAGCCUGCUAAGCUGCAACUGACAUUGAGGCUCGAAAGUGUGGGUAUCAAACAGGAUUAGAUACCCUGGUAGUCCACACGGUAAACGAUGAAUACUCGCUGUUUGCGAUAUACUGCAAGCGGCCAAGCGAAAGCGUUAAGUAUUCCACCUGGGGAGUACGCCGGCAACGGUGAAACUCAAAGGAAUUGACGGGGGCCCGCACAAGCGGAGGAACAUGUGGUUUAAUUCGAUGAUACGCGAGGAACCUUACCCGGGCUUAAAUUGCAACUGAAUGAUGUGGAGACAUGUCAGCCGCAAGGCAGUUGUGAAGGUGCUGCAUGGUUGUCGUCAGCUCGUGCCGUGAGGUGUCGGCUUAAGUGCCAUAACGAGCGCAACCCUUAUCGAUAGUUACCAUCAGGUUAUGCUGGGGACUCUGUCGAGACUGCCGUCGUAAGAUGUGAGGAAGGCGGGGAUGACGUCAAAUCAGCACGGCCCUUACGUCCGGGGCUACACACGUGUUACAAUGGGGGGUACAGAAGGCAGCUACACGGCGACGUGAUGCUAAUCCCUAAAGCCUCUCUCAGUUCGGAUUGGAGUCUGCAACCCGACUCCAUGAAGCUGGAUUCGCUAGUAAUCGCAAAUGAGAAUGCUGCGGUGAAUACGUUCCCGGG
rnacentral:rRNA from 1 species